AAUUUUGGACAAUGGGCGAAAGCCUGAUCCAGCCAUGCCGCGUGUGUGAAGAAGGUCUUCGGAUUGUAAAGCACUUUAAGUUGGGAGGAAGGGUUGUAGAUUAAUACUCUGCAAUUUUGACGUUACCGACAGAAUAAGCACCGGCUAACUUCGUGCCAGCAGCCCCGGUAAUACGAAGGGUGCAAGCGUUAAUCGGAAUUACGGGGCGUAAAGGGGGCGAAGUGGGUUCGUGAAGUGGGAUGUGAAAGCCCCGGGCUCAACUUGGAAACGGAAUCCAAAACUGGGGAGCAGGGGUACGGUAGAGGGUGGGGAAAUUUCCUGUGUAGCGGUGAAAUGCGUAGAUAAGGGAAGGAACACAAGUGGCAAAGGGAACCACCUGGACUGUUACUACCACUGGGGUGCAAAAGCGUGGGAGCAAACAGG
rnacentral:rRNA from 1 species